rnacentral:rRNA from 1 species
UACGUAGGGGGCAAGCGUUGUCCGGAAUCAUUGGGCGUAAAGCGCGUGUAGGCGGCUCGAUAAGUCUGCUGUGAAAGUCCAGGGCUCAACCCUGGGAUGCCGGUGGAUACUGCCGGGCUCGAGUCCGGAAGAGGCGAGUGGAAUUCCCGGUGUAGCGGUGAAAUGCGCAGAUAUCGGGAGGAACACCAAUGGCGAAGGCAGCUCGCUGGGACGUGACUGACGCUGAGACGCGAAAGCGUGGGGAGCAAACAGG